UCUGAUUAUACCUAUACUAUACUUACAACACAGUUUUCUCACUAUUUACACAUCCAUAUGCAUCGGCACUCUGUGCGCUCCUUAAACAAAGAGACUGUGACAUAAUCUUCUUUAUAGCUGCAAUAUCUAGUCCUGUACCUGUUGAGUGGGGUUGCCUGUAGAUAUUAAAAGCCCUGAGGAAAUGUUCGAGGAGAGAGAGAAUCUAUCUAUAGCAAUCAUCUGAUUACAAAAAUAAUUAUAAAAGUCAUGGACCCAUGUGAGAUGGAGUGAUUUGCUGUUAAAGAGUCAAGACCUUAAUCACUGCAUCCCUAGAAUGUGACUCUUUUAAGGUUGGCUGCAGCCCUGCUUUCCAUAUAUAGUUAUCA